rnacentral:tRNA from 1 species
GCAAUAAUAGCUCAAGUAUAGAGCGUUGGUCUUGUAAACCAAAGGCUAAGUAAUAUAUACUUUUGUUGCUC